UACGUAGGGUGCAAGCGUUGUCCGGAAUUACUGGGCGUAAAGGGCGCGUAGGCGGCGUGUCAAGUCAGGCGUGAAAGCCCCGGGCUCAACCUGGGAACCGCGCUUGAGACUGGCAUGCUCGAGUUCGGGAGAGGAUGGUGGAAUUCCCAGUGUAGAGGUGAAAUUCGUAGAUAUUGGGAAGAACACCGAUGGCGAAGGCAGCCAUCUGGACCGACACUGACGCUGAGGCGCGAAAGCGUGGGGAGCAAACAGG
rnacentral:rRNA from 1 species